rnacentral:rRNA from 1 species
GACGAACGCUGGCGGCGUGCUUAACACAUGCAAGUCGAACGGAAAGGCCCUGCUUUUGUGGGGUGCUCGAGUGGCGAACGGGUGAGUAACACGUGAGUAACCUGCCCUUGACUUUGGGAUAACUUCAGGAAACUGGGGCUAAUACCGGAUAGGAGCUCCUGCUGCAUGGUGGGGGUUGGAAAGUUUCGGCGGUUGGGGAUGGACUCGCGGCUUAUCAGCUUGUUGGUGGGGUAGUGGCUUACCAAGGCUGUGACGGGUAGCCGGCCUGAGAGGGUGACCGGCCACAUUGGGACUGAGAUACGGCCCAGACGCCUACGGGAGGCAGAAGUGGGGAAUAUUGCACAAUGGGCGGAAGCCUGAUGCAGCAACGCCGCGUGCGGGAUGACGGCCUUCGGGUUGUAAACCGCUUUCGCCUGUGACGAAGCGUGAGUGACGGUAAUGGGUAAAGAAGCACCGGCUAACUACGUG